GAUGAACGCUGGCGGCGUGCCUAAUACAUGCAAGUCGAGCGAACAGACGAGGAGCUUGCUCCUUUGACGUUAGCGGCGGACGGGUGAGUAACACGUGGAUAACCUACCUAUAAGACUGGGAUAACUUCGGGAAACCGGAGCUAAUACCGGAUAAUAUAUUGAACCGCAUGGUUCAAUAGUGAAAGACGGUUUUGCUGUCACUUAUAGAUGGAUCCGCGCCGUAUUAGCUAGUUGGUAAGGUAACGGCUUACCAAGGCGACGAUGCGUAGCCGACCUGAGAGGGUGAUCGGCCACACUGGAACUGAGACACGGUCCAGACUCCUACGGGAGGCAGCAGUAGGGAAUCUUCCGCAAUGGGCGAAAGCCUGACGGAGCAACGCCGCGUGAGUGAUGAAGGUGUUCGGAUCGUAAAACUCUGUUAUUAGGGAAGAACAAAUGUGUAAGUAACUGUGCACGUCUUGACGGUACCUAAUCAGAAAGCCACGGCUAACUACGUG
rnacentral:rRNA from 1 species